UGUUACAGGAUCAAUUCCGAACGUGAUAAUUUUGCAGGUAGUUCAAGGAGAAAGAGGUUUUCAUCAGUUAAGAGUGAUCCACUGUCUGAUGUUUUUGAGGACAUUGACAUUACUAAGGAGUAUGGAAAUUACAGCAGUUCAACAAGGCAGUCCCUUGAAGCUUGGUCUGCUGCUGAACUAGAUUUGAGCCUU